CCCAAUCAAAGUAAAACUAGAGUCACAAUCGAAACCAAGACAGCCCAGGCCAGAAUGGAACUUAAAGACGUUCUGCCUUCAUUGGAACCAGAGUUUCCAGGGUUCUUCUCAGCAUCCCAUAGAUCUUUGAGAAAAAAUGCCUGGGCGUUUACAAACCUGCAGUAGCCAAAACCCACAAACCUGAGACCUGAGUUAUCCAUUCGUCUUCCUCAGUGAAGGGAUGCCCGAUAUUCUGCGGUUCUGCCUGAUAUUGGUCUACCAGAGGACAAAUAUGGUGCACUACAAACUCUUUCUAAGAAAAGUAAAUAGUGGCAUGAUUUAGCGAGAGGAUGGACGCAUAACACAAUCAACAAGACUCUGUGUUUAAAGAUGGAAAACAAAAACCAUGAAAUUCACAAGAUCUCCAGCCAGAGCAGAGCAGCAGCUCGAGACUUCAUUCUACAGAGAGACGGAAAAGUCUUUGCUUGCCUCCUCUUCCUUGGAGAGGGGGAGCCUGGAAAGAUGGAGCCCCCUCUCUUCCUCCACCCACGUCAGCCUUCCAUGUCUGCUCCUGCCUAGGCCUGGACCUUCCUGACCCACCACCUGCCCUUCGGUGGGUCUGGCUCAGUGUUACAGGACGUGGGCUCCUCUGUCCAUUUUCUGCACCAUGGCAGACCAGCCAGGGUGGGCGGAAGUGAAGAAAUGUGUCUACAGAUUUAUCGCCAGGUCGUAACAGAGUUGCAGUUAUGACUUAGAUUUCCAGCUUCUGGUCUGAUGCUCCUUCUUCAAGAUCAAAAGGAGUUGUGACAGAAAUGCACUUGUAAAGGUAGACCCCAGUACUCAGCGAAAAUAUGUUCAAAUGAAAUACAGCCAGAGAGAUGUGAGAACAGAUGUCCUUCUACAGCACAAAUGGAGAGUUCAAAAGGAAUUUUUAUUAAAAAUGAUUAGACGUCCUCGAACAGCAACUACUAUUAAAUGC
rnacentral:lncRNA from 1 species